rnacentral:rRNA from 1 species
UCCGUUUGAUCCUGACGGACCUGACUGCUAUCAGAUUGAUACUAAGCCAUGUUAGUUAUUGUAGUAAUACAAGGCAGACGGCUCAGUAACGCGUAGUCAACCUAACUUAUGGACGGGGAUAACCUCGGGAAACUGAGAAUAAUACCCGAUAGGUCAUGAUGCCUGGAAUGGUUUAUGACUCAAAUAAUUUAUUGCCGUAGGAUGGGACUGCGAGCUAUCAGCUUGUUGGUGAGGUAAUGGCCCACCAAGGCUAUUACAGCUACGGGCUCUGAGAGGAGUAGCCCGGAGAUGGGUACUGAGACAAGGACCCAGGCCCUAUGGGGCGCAGCAGGCGAGAAAACUUUGCAAUGCGCGAAAGCUCGACAAGGUUAAUCUGAGUGGUUCCUGCUAAAGGAACCUUUUGUUAGUCGUAGAACCACUGAUGAAUAAGGGGUGGGCAAGUUCUGGUGUCAGCCGCCGCGGUAAAACCAGCACCUCAAGUGGUCAGGAUGAUUAUUGGGCCUAAAGCAUCCGUAGCCUGUUCUGUAAGUUUUCGGUUAAAUCUAUGCGCUCAACGUAUAGGCUGCCGAAAAUACUGCAGAACUAGGGAGUGGGAGAGGUAGACGGUACUCGGUAGGAAGGGGUAAAAUCCUUUGAUCUAUUGAUGACCACCUGUGGCGAAGGCGGUCUACCAGAACACGUUCGACGGUGAGGGAUGAAAGCUGGGGGAGCAAACCGGAUUAGAUACCCGGGUAGUCCCAGCUGUAAACGAUGCAAACUCGAUGAUGCGUUGGCUUGUUGCUAGCGCAGUGUCGCAGGGAAGCCGUUAAGUUUGCCGCCUGGGAAGUACGUACGCAAGUAUGAAACUUAAAGGAAUUGGCGGGGGAGCACCACAAGGGGUGAAGCCUGCGGUUCAAUUGGAGUCAACGCCUGAAACCUUACCCGGAGAGACAGCAGAAUGAAGGUCAAGCUGAAGACUUUACCAGACAAGCUGAGAGGUGGUGCAUGGCCGUCGCCAGCUCGUGCCGUGAGAUGUCCUGUUAAGUCAGGUAACGAGCGAGAUCCCUGCCUCUAGUUGCCAC